GAUGAACGCUGGCGGCGUGCCUAAUACAUGCAAGUCGAGCGAACGGACGAGAAGCUUGCUUCUCUGAUGUUAGCGGCGGACGGGUGAGUAACACGUGGAUAACCUACCUAUAAGACUGGGAUAACUUCGGGAAACCGGAGCUAAUACCGGAUGAUAUUUUGAACCGCAUGGUUCAAAAGUGAAAGACGGUCUUGCUGUCACUUAUAGAUGGAUCCGCGCUGCAUUAGCUAGUUGGUAAGGUAACGGCUUACCAAGGCAACGAUGCAUAGCCGACCUGAGAGGGUGAUCGGCCACACUGGAACUGAGACGCGGUCCAGACUCCUACGGGAGGCAGCAGUAGGGAAUCUUACGCAAUGGGCGAAAGCCUGACGGAGCAACGCCGCGUGAGUGAUGAAGGUCUUCGGAUCGUAAAACUCUGUUAUUAGGGAAGAACAUAUGUGUAAGUAACUGUGCACAUCUUGACGGUACCUAAUCAGAAAGCCACGGCUAACUACGUG
rnacentral:rRNA from 1 species